rnacentral:rRNA from 1 species
GAUUAAAGAUUUAUCGGUGAUGGAUGGGGAUGCGUCUGAUUAGCUUGUUGGCGGGGUAACGGCCCACCAAGGCUACGAUCAGUAGGGGUUCUGAGAGGAAGGUCCCCCACAUUGGAACUGAGACACGGUCCAAACUCCUACGGGAGGCAGCAGUGAGGAAUAUUGGUCAAUGGACGAGAGUCUGAACCAGCCAAGUAGCGUGCAGGAUGACGGCCCUAUGGGUUGUAAACUGCUUUUAUAAGGGAAUAAAGUGAGUCUCGUGAGACUUUUUGCAUGUACCUUAUGAAUAAGGACCGGCUAAUUCCGUGCCAGCAGCCGCGGUAAUACGGAAGGUCCGGGCGUUAUCCGGAUUUAUUGGGUUUAAAGGGAGCGUAGGCCGGAGAUUAAGCGUGUUGUGAAAUGUAGAUGCUCAACAUCUGCACUGCAGCGCGAACUGGUUUCCUUGAGUACGCACAAAGUGGGCGGAAUUCGUGGUGUAGCGGUGAAAUGCUUAGAUAUCACGAAGAACUCCGAUUGCGAAGGCAGCUCACUGGAGCGCAACUGACGCUGAAGCUCGAAAGUGCGGGUAUCGAACAGGAUUAGAUACCCUGGUAGUCCGCACGGUAAACGAUGGAUGCCCGCUGUUGGUCUGAAUAGGUCAGCGGCCAAGCGAAAGCAUUAAGCAUCCCACCUGGGGAGUAC